AAAAAUUUAAUUAUUAUACACGGACAGUGUAAAAUAAUUUACACCUAUUAAUGUGUUUUUCACCGUAAUAAAUAUAAAAUAAAAUUAAUGGUUUAGAAAUAAAAUAUAUAUUACUCAUCCUUUUUGUACAAUCUAACAUUCAUUUCCUUCUAAAGAAGAUACCCUGUCAACCUGAUUCACACUUGGUUUUGCAGAGAGUAUGAGUAAUAUCACUGAGAAAUUGGGAAUCAAGGUUGAGACAAACCCUUCUGAGGAAAAACUCACUCAACUUGGUGUUAAGCAAUGGUCCAAGUAAUUAAAUUCUCUCUUCCCUUUUUCAUCUUCCAUCGCAACAUUUUCUACAUUUUUUUUCCAUUAUUUUAGGGCAUGUAUUUUGUAUUUUCACAACAAUUGUUAUUUUUUUCCAUAAAAAUGAGCUAUAAUAUACUUAGAUUGAUUAUUAUGCCCUAUACUUACUGUAUUAUGUUUUUGGUUAUUUUUCUGAAAUUGGAUUGUAAACCUAGCAAGAUACUAGCUUUAUGAACAGAAAUGUUAGUAUCCAUUUUUCUUUUAAUAAUAGCAUCUUUGGUGUUUAUUGCUUGUAAGUUUGUGAUAUUAUAUAUUUUUAAAUUAAUUGAAAAUUCAAGAUGUACUUUUGUGACUUUUAUUUCAUUAUGUUUUGCACAAAACUCCUAUUUAAUUUUAAUUAUUUUGAAAAUCACACAAAUAAGUGGUUAUCAUGUAUUGUCGAUAUAAAUUUUUUUACACAAAUAAUAGUAAAUUAAAUAGAAAUCAAACUCAAUAAAAAAGUUAUUUUCUAUUAAAAAAAGGGUUGUAGUAUUAAAUUAAAUCAAUUAAAAAAUAAGGUCGACAUUAUUUCUCUAUGUGACUUAAGAAAAUAAUAUAUCAACUUAUGUAAAUUGUGAAUAUGCUUGAAAUGUUAGGAGUAAUGUGAGAUGAAGACUUAUAUAAACAAAAAUUAUAAUUAUCAAUUAAUUAUAGUUAUUAGAUUAUCAAUAACAUUUAAUUUUAAUUAUUUUGAAAAUCACACAAAUAAGUGGUUAUCAUGUAUUGUCGAUAUAAAUUUUUUUACACAAAUAAUAGUAAAUUAAAUAGAAAUCAAACUCAAUAAAAAAGUUAUUUUCUAUUAAAAAAAGGGUUGUAGUAUUAAAUUAAAUCAAUUAAAAAAUAAGGUCGACAUUAUUUCUCUAUGUGACUUAAGAAAAUAAUAUAUCAACUUAUGUAAAUUGUGAAUAUGCUUGAAAUGUUAGGAGUAAUGUGAGAUGAAGACUUAUAAAAUAUGAGAGCAAAAUUUUCUCUUUUGUAGGUUAUAUAUCUAAACUAAAGUGAAUUACAUAAGAUUUAAUUAUAAUUGUAGAUGCAAAAUUUAUUAAAUGUGUUAUCUUAUUAGUGAUAAUUUCUCUUAUAAUAGUGGUUUUGAAAUUUUUCUGAACAAGAAUUUAUGAUGUGAAUUGUGAUAAAUCAUUAAUUUGAGACUUAAGAUUAUGACCGUGAGACAUUUAACACAUCAAAUUUACGCAUUAAUAAAAUACUUCAUCAUAUUGUUAAAUAUCUUGAAGUAUAAUGUUACGUGACACCGUAGUUUAUCAACGUUAAAUUAAAGUUUUUUUAUGUUACAUAAAUCAUUUUGUCCACGAAAAGCAAACUUCAUGUAAUAUUUUGCCUGAAUUUUUUAAAAUAUUUUAUUUUAUUUUAAAUAUAAUAUUAAUUAAAUUUGACCUAUGUUUUAUUUAAUAUAUUUUUUCAAAUUGAAUAAAGUAUGAGUUGAGUUGAUGGUGAAGUCCCUCCUAUUAGAUAAAAAUAGGCCAAAUUUAAUUAAUAUUUAAAUUAAUUGAAAUAUUAUUGUCACGAUAUAUUUUUGUUUUAAUCCUCUGAUUGUCAAGGACAACACGUUUUGGUCUCGAAGUUCAAUAGAAAGAUAACUUAAAUCUAAUUAAGAAUUAUUCCAAUUAAGAUUAGAACAUAAAUUCUAUAAAACGAUUUAUCGUUAACUAAAUAUUGUUAACAAUAAUAAAUCAAUAUGAAUUAAAUUGUCAUUUUUAAUUAUUGUUUAUAAAAACUGCUAUAAGAUGUAUUCCACAAUAAUAAAUACACACAACUAAUGAAAAAAUUUAAUUAUUAUACACGGACAGUGUAAAAUAAUUUACACCUAUUAAUGUGUUUUUCACCGUAAUAAAUAUAAAAUAAAAUUAAUGGUUUAGAAAUAAAAUAUAUAUUACUCAUCCUUUUUGUACAAUCUAACAUUCAUUUCCUUCUAAAGAAGAUACCCUGUCAACCUGAUUCACACUUGGUUUUGCAGAGAGUAUGAGUAAUAUCACUGAGAAAUUGGGAAUCAAGGUUGAGACAAACCCUUCUGAGGAAAAACUCACUCAACUUGGUGUUAAGCAAUGGUCCAAGUAAUUAAAUUCUCUCUUCCCUUUUUCAUCUUCCAUCGCAACAUUUUCUACAUUUUUUUUCCAUUAUUUUAGGGCAUGUAUUUUGUAUUUUCACAACAAUUGU
rnacentral:lncRNA from 1 species